GCCGAGGUGGUGGAAUUGGUAGACACGCUAUCUUGAGGGGGUAGUGUCCUUAUGGACGUGCGGGUUCAAGUCCCGCUCUCGGCA
rfam:Cycloclasticus sp. Phe_18 scaffold_130, whole genome shotgun sequence.